rnacentral:rRNA from 1 species
GAUGAACGCUGGCGGCGUGCCUAAUACAUGCAAGUCGAGCGAACAGACGAGGAGCUUGCUUCUCUGACGUUAGCGGCGGACGGGUGAGUAACACGUGGAUAACCUACCUAUAAGACUGGGAUAACUUCGGGAAACCGGAGCUAAUACCGGAUAAUAUAUUGAACCGCAUGGUUCAAUAGUGAAAGACGGUCUUGCUGUCACUUAUAGAUGGAUCCGCGCCGCAUUAGCUAGUUGGUAAGGUAACGGCUUACCAAGGCAACGAUGCGUAGCCGACCUGAGAGGGUGAUCGGCCACACUGGAACUGAGACACGGUCCAGACUCCUACGGGAGGCAGCAGUAGGGAAUCUUCCGCAAUGGGCGAAAGCCUGACGGAGCAACGCCGCGUGAGUGAUGAAGGUCUUCGGAUCGUAAAACUCUGUUAUUAGGGAAGAACAAAUGUGUAAGUAACUAUGCACGUCUUGACGGUACCUAAUCAGAAAGCCACGGCUAACUACGUG